rnacentral:rRNA from 1 species
GACGAACGCUGGCGGCGUGCUUAACACAUGCAAGUCGAAUGGAAAGACCCUGCUUUUGUGGGGUGCUCGAGUGGCGAACGGGUGAGUAACACGUGAGUAACCUGCCCUUGACUUUGGGAUAACUUCAGGAAACUGGGGCUAAUACCGGAUAGGAGCUCCUGCUGCAUGGUGGGGGUUGGAAAGUUUCGGCGGUUGGGGAUGGACUCGCGGCUUAUCAGCUUGUUGGUGGGGUAGUGGCUUACCAAGGCUUUGACGGGUAGCCGGCCUGAGAGGGUGACCGGCCACAUUGGGACUGAGAUACGGCCCAGACUCCUACGGGAGGCAGCAGUGGGGAAUAUUGCACAAUGGGCGGAAGCCUGAUGCAGCAACGCCGCGUGCGGGAUGACGGCCUUCGGGUUGUAAACCGCUUUCGCCUGUGACGAAGCGUGAGUGACGGUAAUGGGUAAAGAAGCACCGGCUAACUACGUG